UGCAUNCCAAGUCAGCUCUGCCUGUGUAUAGCUGGUGAUUAUAAAUGAAUGAAUUGCAUGGGCAUGCUGGCAAUGUAUUGUAUUUAGUUUCUGACCUAUCAGCUUCCGACGAUAAGAUAUUGGCUUACCGUGGCAAUGACGGGGGACGGAGAAUUAGGGUUUGAUUCCGGAGAGGGAGCCUGAGAAAUGGCUACCACAUCUAAGGAAGGCAGCAGGCGCGCAAAUUACCCAAUCUUGGCAUAGGGAGGUAGUGACAAGAAAUAACAAUACAGGGCAUCCAUGUUUUGUAAAUUAGAAUGGACAGAUSUUAUCCUUCGCUGUGAGUAUCAAUUGGAGACA
rnacentral:rRNA from 1 species